rnacentral:tRNA from 1 species
CGGGGCGUAGCUCAGUUGGGUUAGAGUGCUUGACUGGGGGUCAAGAGGUCGCUGGUUCGAAUCCAGUCGCCCCGA